UGAACAAGUUGUAGACCAGUUCUUCCAACUGUCAAUAAUCUAGUGGAUGGAAUGUACAGCAUCAAAGCGUGUUAGGUAUUGUUGGACAACAUGACAGAGUUAACAGAAGAGAUGUGGGUGAAGGCUCAACAAAAGAUACACAAGAGUGCUGCUUGGAGAAUAUCAUUUGUAGAAGUUGUUGCUGAAAAAAGGAUGUGGAUGAUUAGAGCAUUGAAGUAGGAUUUGGGAGUUUCUUGAAAACAAUAGGUUUCUUUUUAAAUUUGAGAAUGACAUGGAUAUUUGUUUGUUUGA